GCGCUGAAAGAGGAGUCCGCGGCCGAUUAGCUAGUUGGCGGGGUAACGGCCCACCAAGGCGAAGAUCGGUAGCCGGCCUGAGAGGGCACACGGCCACACUGGCACUGAAACACGGGCCAG
rnacentral:rRNA from 1 species